rnacentral:rRNA from 1 species
GAUGAACGCUGGCGGCGUGCCUAAUACAUGCAAGUCGAGCGGUAAGGCCCUUCGGGGUACACGAGCGGCGGACGGCUGAGUAACACGUAGGAACGUACCCCAAACUGAGGGAUAAGCACCAGAAAUGGUGUCUAAUACCGCAUGUGGCCUUCGGGCUAAAGCUCCGGCGGUUUGGGAACGGCCUGCGUCCGAUUAGCUAGUUGGUAGUGUAAUGGACUACCAAGGCGACGAUCGGUAGCUGGUCUGAGAGAAUGAUCAGCCAGACUGGGACUGAGACACGGCCCAGACUCCUACGGGAGGCAGCAGUAGGGAAUUUUCCACAAUGGGGGCAACCCUGAUGGAGCAACGCCGCGUGCAGGAUGAAGGCCUUCGGGUUGUAAACUGCUUUUAUCUGUGACGAUUAUGACGGUAGCAGAUGAAUAAGGACCUGCUAACUACGUGCCAGCCGCCGCGGUAA